UACGGAAGGCAGCAGUAGGGAAUAUUGGGCAAUGGAGGCAACUCUGACCCAGCCAUGCCGCGUGCAGGAUGAAGGCGCUCAGCGUUGUAAACUGCUUUUUAUUGGUGAAGAACUGUAGAUCUGCGGAUUUAUUUGACGGUAGCCAAGGAAUAAGCACCGGCUAACUCCGUGCCAGCAGCCGCGGUAAUACGGAGGGUGCAAGCGUUGUCCGGAUUUAUUGGGUUUUAAAGGGUGCGUAGGUGGAACUGUAAGUCUGAUUUUGAAAGCAAGCGGCUUAACCGUUUUGAUGUGGUUGGAAACUGUGGUUCUUGAAUGGGUUGGCGGUAGCCGGAAUGGGUCAUGUAGCGGUGAAAUGCAUAGAUAUGACCCGGAACACCGAUUGCGAAGGCAGGCUACUACGACUUGAUUGACACUGAGGCACGAGAGCAUGGGUAGCGAACAGGAUUAGGAAUAACCC
rnacentral:rRNA from 1 species